rnacentral:rRNA from 1 species
UACGUAGGGUGCGAGCGUUGUCCGGAAUUACUGGGCGUAAAGAGCUCGUAGGCGGUUUGGUAGGUCCGCUGUGAAAACUCGAGGCUCAACCUCGAGACGCCGGUGGAAACCAUCAGACUAGAGUCCGGAAGAGGAGAGUGGAAUUCCUGGUGUAGCGGUGAAAUGCGCAGAUAUCAGGAAGAACACCCGUGGCUAAGGCGGCUCUCUAGUACGGUACUGACGCUGAGACGCGAAAGCGUGGGGAGCGAACAGG